GCGGGAUUCUGUAACCAGUGUCUAGUGUCUAUUUGAGACAUUUUGAGGUAAAAUCUCAAUUUGUGACUAGUUAUUAUUCACUAAACAGUCUCUAGCGUUAGUCUCAAAAUGUUGCCUCAAAUUUGAGACCUGGUAGUUAGCAGGUCACAAAACUAAAAAGAACUCUUGUCUGCCAUUUUGAAUAUACUGAAUAGAGAUCAUCAUCAAGAAUGAUGGAAAGAAGAUUGCGCAAUGCGCAUGUUUGUUUUCAGUCAGCUGUUCUUGCUGACGUCACGGUUGACUUAUUAUUCGCCCGAGCUUUUGAAAGUGAAUUCGAUUGUGUUUUCAAGUGUUGUAUUAAUUGUGAAAUUUUUUAUUUUUUAAAAUGCGUUGCGCAGUGUUCGGGUGUAAUAUUAAUAAUGGUAAAAAUUGUGCUACGAAUUGGAGAUUUUUUCAUUUCCCUAAAGAUAAAGCAGUACUAAAAUAAUGGAUUAAUUUUUGUCGUCGCACGGACAAAAUUAAUGUUAAAAAUGCAUGCAUUUGUGAAGUGCACUUCGCGCCAGAAGCCUUCGAAAGAAACUUGCAGUUUGAAAUGGUUCGCGGAAUCCAAUUAAGUUGCUACCUAGGGCUUUUCCCACGUUAACCACUGCUCCUGCAGAGGCUAAUGAACGGCAAAAAAGAAUGGAGUCUCGUUUCAAAAAAGAGAUGUUAACGACAAUUUUGAAGAAUACCGCCCCUGUUGAAGUAAUUCAAGAAAACGAGGUUGGAGAGGUACUUCAAACUGCAGGAGAGGAGGUCAUCGAUGAGAAAGACGAGAAAAUACUGCAUUUGGAAACAGAAAUACAAAGGCUGAAUAGUGUUGAUAGCACUUUGGUAAGUGCAAAAACGAGCAGUUAGCAGAAGUUGAACUCCUUAGGAUUUCUAUUAAAACCUCGGAAUUCCACAGUAAUAAUUUGGAGCAAAAACUUAGCUGCAUUUUCACCAACGGCCAGGUAAGUGCCC